ACAGGACUCCACAUAAAUCCGAGAGGGUAAGAAGCGUGAUUUGAAGAGCCCGCGCCAGCCCGAGACCGAAGAUAGAAGGUGGCGCUCGUAAAUGAAUACGCUGAAGUGUCCUGUAGAAAAAGCGCCUUUCGAGCUGAUACGAGAGCUAUCAAUUUACGUAAGGAGGCAGUAUAUUCCCCUCAACAGCGGUGGGGCAUCCCUCUCCCUCUCUCUCUCUCUCUCUCUCUCGCGAACUGUCUAGUAUCCUGCCAAAAACAAGCAAAAGAAGAAUCUCUAUUAAUGGGUGGUACGGUUCUUCUAAGAUAGUUGAAAAUUCACGGAUAUCUAUUCACUACCAGUUUAGCUUUCAGUCCAUUCUAUCAUCAAGUGUUCGAUCUGGCCUGCCAGUCCAUUUUUGUCGAAGUUCAUAAGUUCUGGAUAUGUUCUCUAGCAAAACAUGUUUUGAAGUAAGCUACCGAAAAUGCAUCGGAAUUUCAAAUAAACAUUGGUGCUAUGCGUUCAAUUUUCUUGACUUAUACACGAUAGAUUUGGUUCUAUAAUAGACAAGGCAUUAGAAAAGUUUUGCCAACCUUGUUGUUUUAUUUACUGUGGCAACAAUCUGAAUCAUUAGAUCCAGUAGUCUGCGAAACAUCGGAGAGAAAAGUGUUGGCGUCACAUAAUCACUUGGCCUUCUAUUCCCUUCCCUCUUUACCUGAUUAGUUCAAAUCUGUUUUGACUUUUAUAUGUCACGCGCUAUAAUUGAUUUCAGGUACCGACUAAAAUAUGGAAUACAGAUUGGCUCAGGGAUUUGCUUUGACGGUAUUUGUCCCACUCAUGUGAAAGCUUCCAAGGAACUGUCCUUGAGCUUUCAGCUCCUUUGUUGCCUAGGUUUUUUUCUUUUACUCGAACCUUCAUAUGUUUAUGCAUUGUCCCUAAUUUAUCAAUCAGUCUAUGUACAUAUGCUAGCGUUGUGCUCACUAUGGUUUUGGCAAGCAACUCUUUUGCUGUACUUGGCUCUUGGGUUUGUUCUUGUCCCUAUAAGCUGGAUAUCAAAAGCUGAUUUGAUUGUGAAACUAGCAAUCUGUCCUUCAGCACAAUUCAAACAUGGCUGAACACGCCGUACAUAGUGUUGGCGCGAGCUGUAAUUCCCUUAUUUGUGGAG
rnacentral:lncRNA from 1 species